rnacentral:rRNA from 1 species
AGUUCGGAUUGUAGGCUGAAACUCGCCUACAUGAAGCUGGAGUUACUAGUAAUCGCAGAUCAGAAUGCUGCGGUGAAUGCGUUCCCGGGUCUUGUACACACCGCCCGUCACACCACGGGAGUUGGAGCGUCACACCACGGGAGUUGGAGACGCCCGAAGCCGAUUAUCUAACCUUUUGGAAGAAGUCGUCGAAGGUGGAAUCAAUAACUGGGGUGAAGUCGUAACAAGGUAGCCGUAUCGGAAGGUGCGGCUGG